rnacentral:rRNA from 1 species
AACGAACGCUGGCGGCAGGCUUAACACAUGCAAGUCGAACGGGUGUAGCAAUACAUCAGUGGCAGACGGGUGAGUAACACGUGGGAACCUUCCUAGAGGUACUGAACAACUCAGGGAAACUUGAGCUAAUACCGUAUACGCUCGUGAGAGGAAGGAUUUAUCGCCUUUAGACGGGCCCGCGUCGGAUUAGGUAGUUGGUGGGGUAACGGCCUACCAAGCCUACGAUCCGUAGCUGAUCUGAGAGGAUGAUCAGCCACACUGGGACUGAGACACGGCCCAGACUCCUACGGGAGGCAGCAGUGGGGAAUCUUGGACAAUGGGCGCAAGCCUGAUCCAGCCAUGCCGCGUGAGUGAAGAAGGCCUUAGGGUUGUAAAGCUCUUUUACCAGGGACGAUAAUGACGGUACCUGGAGAAUAAGCCCCGGCAAACUUCGUGCCAGCAGCCGCCGUAAUAC